rnacentral:rRNA from 1 species
GGCGCACGGGUGCGUAACACGUAGGCAUCUUCCCUAGAGCGGGGGAUAACGUUCCGAAAGGAACGCUAAUACCGCAUAAGACCACGUCCACUUCGGUGGAUGAGGUAAAAGCCGGCCUCUUCUUGAAAGCUGGCACUUUAGGUCGAGCCUGCGGCCCAUCAGCUAGUUGGUAGGGUAACGGCCUACCAAGGCAAAGACGGGUAGCUGGUCUGAGAGGAUGAUCAGCCACACUGGCACUGAAACACGGGCCAGACUCCUACGGGAGGCAGCAGUGGGGAAUCUUGGUCAAUGGGCGCAAGCCUGAACCAGCGACGCCGCGUGAGUGAUGAAGGCCUUCGGGUUGUAAAGCUCUGUGGGUAGGGAAGAAAAAAGCCGGCGCGAAUAGCUCCGGUUCUUGACGGUACCUACUUAGCAAGCACCGGUUAACUCUGUGCCAGCAGCCGCGGUAAAGACAGAGGGUGCAAACGUUGCUCGGAAUUACUGGGGCGUAAAGCACGUGUAGGCGGACUUGCAAGUCAGAUGUGGAAAGUCCCCGAAGCUCAUCGGGGAACUGCUUUGAAACUGGGAAGGCUUUGGAGUGUCGGGACAAGGGGCCGUGGG